rnacentral:rRNA from 1 species
CCGGCAACGGAUAUCUCGGCUCUSGCAUCGAUGAAGAACGUAGCGAAAUGCGAUACGUGGUGUGAAUUGCAGAAUCCCGUGAACCAUCGAGUCUUUGAACGCAAGUUGCGCCCGAGGGACCAUCCCGAGGGCACGC